rnacentral:rRNA from 1 species
UACGGAGGGGGCUAGCGUUGUUCGGAAUUACUGGGCGUAAAGCGCGCGUAGGCGGACCUGCAAGUCGGGGGUGAAAGCCCGAGGCUCAACCUCGGAACUGCCUUCGAUACUGCGGCUCUCGAGUCCGGGAGAGGUGAGUGGAAUUCCUAGUGUAGAGGUGAAAUUCGUAGAUAUUAGGAAGAACACCAGUGGCGAAGGCGGCUCACUGGCCCGGUACUGACGCUGAGGCGCGAAAGCGUGGGGAGCAAACAGG